GCAAACUUGGUCAUUUAGAGGAAGUAAAAGUCGUAACAAGGUUUCCGUAGGUGAACCUGCGGAAGGAUCAUUAUUGAAUCCAAAGGGAUGCUGCUGGCUUUUUAUGAGCUGUGCACUCCUGCCUUUACAUCCACCUGUGCACUUGCUGUAGACUAGGAUUAAUUUCUGGGUCUAUGUUUUUCAUUUACGCUUUUAAAGUCAAUGAAUGUAUUUCAGGCUUUGGCCAAUAAAAAUAAUACAACUUUCAACAAUGGAUCUCUUGGUUCUCGCAUCGAUGAAGAACGCAGC
rnacentral:misc_RNA from 1 species